CCCGAGUUUUCUUAUUGCUAGGCUCUUUACAUUUACAGACUUGAUCUCAUUUCUUGAUCUCAUUUAAUCCUCUUCACAUCCCUGUGAGACUGGAAUUGCCAUCUCUGCUUAGCAUCAGGGACCUAAGGGUCAGAGAGAUUAGGUAACUUGCUCAGGUCACACAGCUGGUAAAUGGACACCCCAGUGUUCAAAGCCAGAUUUGUCUGACCCCAAAGUCUAAGAACCCAGAGGUAAACAGUGAUACCCAGUCAGUAGUCUGGAGGCCGAGGAGAGUGAUCACUGACCAGAGGAGGCUUCCUGCAUGAAGUGGAUCUGGAGUCCCUGAGGAUGAGAGAGGUUCAUUCAAAGCGAAAGGACUGGAGGGAUGGCUGAAGACUGAUGCUAGAGGGUGGACCCAUGGGGCCUGCAGUCACUCUGGCCGACCCUUCGACCCUCAAGAACCUCCAUCAGCGCCAGGGAGCCUGGGCCCGGAACUGCCUCUCUGCCCCAGCAGCACCCUCUUGGUGCCCUUCCCUCCCCUUCCUGUGCCCCAAUUUCCAGAGGGUCUGAACCCACUGACCCCCAAAGAGAAGCCCUGCAGAGCAGAGACCUCACCCUGAGAAGCCUGCACCCCCUGGACAUCUUGACUCCAUCCUUCAGCAUCCUUUGCCUCACUGUAUCCUGACUGCUUGGACCAUCCUUCUCUCCAGCCUCCACUGAACAACAGAUUGGGAAGGGGAAUUUCACAAGGUUUGAGUGGCAGAGAUGUCCUAGGGUAGGCAGAAGGCCUGGCAGCCCCGGGAUGAACUUGCCCCUAGCCCAGCCCUCUGUCCUCUUACCAGCUUGGGGUUUGGUGGGGGCGGGGGGGUGGACAUUGGUAGGGGUGAUUCCAGGAUAUGUGUGCUUGAAGGGAUGUGGCCACGCCUGUGUGGUGGGGGUGGAGGGCUGAGGAGAACAGUGUGGCUCACCCUCUCUUUUGUGAGGAUGGGAGGAGCCUGGAAAGCCCUCUAGCUACUGGCUUUCCUCCUCCUUCCUCCUUACUUAGCAACUGUUGCCUGGUAAAUAUUUGCCCC
rnacentral:lncRNA from 1 species